rnacentral:tRNA from 1 species
GCCUGGGUGGCUCAGUCAGUUGAGCAUCCGACUCUUGAUCUUGACAUAGGUCAUUAUCCCAGGUUGUGGGAUCAAGUCCCAUCUAGGGCU